UAGUCUACGCCGUAAACGAUGGAUACUAGCUGUCCGGCUUCGGGCUGGGUGGCUAAGCGAAAGUGAUAAGUAUCCCACCUGGGGAGUACGUUCGCAAGAAUGAAACUCAAAGGGAAUUGACGGGGGCCCGCACAAGCGGUGGAGCAUGUGGUUUAAUUCGAUGAUACGCGAGGAACCUUACCAGGGCUUAAAUGUAGAGUGACAGGCUGAGAGGAUUUGGGCUUUUCUUCGGGACACUUUACAAGGUGCUGCAUGGUUGUCGUCAGCUCGUGCCGUGAGGUGUCAGGUUAAGUCCUAUAACGAGCGCAACCCCUGUUGUUAGUUGCCAGCAUGUAAAGAUGGGAACUCUAGCAAGACUGCCAGUGCAAACUGUGAGGAAGGUGGGGAUGACGUCAAAUCAUCACGGCCCUUACGUCCUGGGCUACACACGUGCUACAAUGGUAGGGACAGAGAGCAGCCACGUCGCGAGGCGGAGCGAAUCUAUAACCCUAUCACAGUUCGGAUC
rnacentral:rRNA from 1 species